rnacentral:rRNA from 1 species
CCGUUGAAUUCGGUGCUUCGUGGCUGCCGCCGGUUCCUCGACCGCUCCCGCGCCUUGGCGAUUGUCGUUAGCCCGCCGAGUGGUACAGACGUUCGCCGUGGGGCUUGGAGACGGGGUCCGGACCAGUCUCGCCGUUCCGAAUAUUUGGUGUGUUGGGGCUCGGUGCCCCGCCGGACCCUCGUGUUUCUGCCUCCGACGUAGUCCUUGCUCGGAUGGCCGCGGACGCGGGGAUGGCGUGUUUCUGGGUCCCAAUUCAUCUACUGCCGCGGGGGUCCAUCUGGCCGAAUCCACCGUGCCCUUUUCGUGCGGUGCUUCCGUUUGACGGUCGUCAGAGGAAGCGCAGCCCCUGGGCCCGGUUCGGCUCCGUCGGAUCCCUCGGCCUCGCUCCCUCGGUGCCUGGUCCAAGCAGCCGGCCCUCGGGCCCGAACUCCCGAGGGUUGUCGGGGCCGUCGAGCACUGGUCCGCGCCGUGGCGGGCGCCGUCGGGGCGGUCUCACGGACGGAGGGACGGAGGGUAUAGGUGCCGGGGGCACCAAGGACACGCCGGGCGUGCCGCGCGGGCUCCACUCGAUGGGGAACGAGCGGCACUGCACCAGAAAGCACGACUCUCGGCAACGGAUAUCUCGGCUCUCGCCACGAUGAAGAACGUAGCGAAAUGCGAUACCUAGUGUGAAUUGCAGAAUCCCGUGAAUCAUCGAGUCUUUGAACGCAAGUUGCGCCCGAGGCCUCGGCCAAGGGCACGUCUGCUUGGGCGUCGCAUUGGACCAAGCGCCCCUUGCCCGCGCCCGGGCACUGGAGCGGAGCUGGCCGUCCGCGCCCCCCGUGGCUCGGUUGGCUAAAACGGUUUUCGGAUCCCCGUCGUCUCGCGCCGGUGAGCGGUCGUUUGGCCGCCUCCGGGCGGCAGGCCCGCGUGCGCCGGUGCGAGAAGCAGGCGGCGUUCCCUUCGCAGCCCCU